rnacentral:rRNA from 1 species
ACAGAGGUCCCAAGCGUUGUUCGGAUUCACUGGGCGUAAAGGGUGCGUAGGCGGUCGGGUAAGUCUGAUGUGAAAUCUCGGAGCUUAACUCCGAAACGGCAUUGGAUACUGCCUGGCUCGAGGUUGGGAGGGGGGACUGGAAUUCUCGGUGUAGCAGUGAAAUGCGUAGAUAUCGAGAGGAACACCAGUGGCGAAGGCGAGUCCCUGGACCAAUCCUGACGCUGAGGCACGAAAGCCAGGGGAGCAAACGG